UGGGGAAUAUUGGACAAUGGGGGCAACCCUGAUCCAGCCAUGCCGCGUGUGUGAAGAAGGCCUUUUGGUUGUAAAGCACUUUAAGCAGGGAGGAGAGGCUAAUGGUUAAUACCCAUUAGAUUAGACGUUACCUGCAGAAUAAGCACCGGCUAACUCUGUGCCAGCAGCCGCGGUAAUACAGAGGGUGCGAGCGUUAAUCGGAAUUACUGGGCGUAAAGCGAGUGUAGGUGGCUCAUUAAGUCACAUGUGAAAUCCCCAGGCUUAACCUGGGAACUGCAUGUGAUACUGGUGGUGCUAGAAUAUGUGAGAGGAAAGUAGAAUUCCAGGUGUAGCGGUGAAAUGCGUAGAGAUCUGGAGGAAUACCGAUGGCGAAGGCAGCUUCCUGGCAUAAUAUUGACACUGAGAUUCGAAAGCGUGGGUAGCAAACAGG
rnacentral:rRNA from 1 species